GCAUGGUUGGUUUAGUGGCAUAAUUACCGCCUGCCAGCUCAGCUCGCGGUAGACCCGGGUUCGAUUCCCGGACCAUGCA